CACAGGGCCAGACUGAGAUGAGAUCUGAAUGAGGAUGCAGAGGAAGGAGGGCUGUGCAGCUGUGUCCUGCACCCUCAGCAUCAAGCACAGAACCAGAUGGUGCUGACGCCUCACUGCCUCCUCCUCCUCCUCUAACAGCUGAUUCUAUGCCCUUGGAAUUGGGGAUGUGGACCUGUUCCCCAAACAAACACCAGCCCCUUCAGCAGUCUGCUGAGAUCACCAAGAUGCCAGUGCUCUGACAAACUCCAUCUUCACCGUGCAUCAGAUGGGACCUCCAGACUCCCCAGGCAUGUGUCACAAGCAUGGGGCUGACAGGAAAUUAAAGUUAAGCUAACAUACAAAUCAUGAUGCUUUCCCAAGCUUGUCUCUCUUCCGCAAGCCCAAACAUGAUUUGCUGCACUGGUGAGCACAGCUAAUCAGCAGCCUGGGAAUUAACAGGCUAAACCCCCAUUUGUUGUGGCUCUUUGAUUGAAUUCUUCCCAACCAUGGGGCUACGGCAUACUGGAGCCCUACAAGCAGUCUCAAGAAAUACAUUUAUUAGACUGAUUGUACUGGGGGCUUUUGAAACCACCAGUUGCUUUGUCUAGGGAUCUGUAACCAUAAUUUUAAUAGCAGCAAUUCAUAUUUUCUGAAGGAACAAGGCCAAAUUCAUCUCUAGUUUCCUUCUGUUAACUCAAUGAGUUCUAAGCUUUAAGGGUGACACUGACCCGAAGUGUUUAAAGUGAAGUCAUGCAGUUAAGACAAAAGGUUUUUAUAAUGCAUUAAUUUAUAACGUGCAAAACAAGAGGCAGAGAGGACCUCUGCAAGUGAGCAGCUGCUAAAAUAAUCCAGGAUGCACAGCUGAGCACUUCCCAGAACUUAUCUGGAUAAAGCAGCAGUAAACCAAGGUGUGUGCAAGGACCAUGUAAUGCAAAAGGAAAAUCUUUACACGGAGGGCACAGGGAAACUUUAUUGUCUGGCAUGUGGAAAUAUCGCAAGUAUCUCACAUCCAAACCCAGCCCUUGGGAAGCUCAGCUGCCAGUCCAGGCUGCAGCUCUGUGAACUGGCUCCCACAGUGGGCAGAGGAGGGGGAGCCACGCCCAGCCGUGCAGGUAUCUGUGUCUGUGUCCUUCUGUGUCACAAAAGGAGCAAAAGCAGCGCUCAGUUCCCUGCAUCCUGCACACAGCACAUUCCCAUGCACUCACUGCCCUGCAGCGCUUCCCAGGAGUGCAGUGGCAGCAGGAGUGGAGCAGGCACUGGCACAGGACAGAGGGAGCUGGCACACGCUGCUCUGUCCCAGCCCUCCAAAGCCCCCUGUCCCCUCCUGGCUGCAGGGUGGGACAGCUCCGUGCUGGGCCCUGUGAGCUGGGGCACCCCACCUGCUCCUCACCAACCCAACCAAUCCGGCACUGCAGCUGCCAGGAUGGAAACAAAGCUAAACAUGGCUUGUCCCACGCACACCCUGCUCAUUCAACAACAUUCCUUAAAACUACAUUUCAGAUAAGGGGAAUUUAUAGGAGAAGCAAGCCUCUUGCAAGAGAGACCUGGAAGCGUGGGGCCUUCAGAAGAGCUUGGUAAGAAACCACAUGGCUUUUCUUUGCCCAGUUUAGCCAUUACAAGAGAAAAUAGAAAACCUGGGAGGUGCAAAUAAAAGCAAUAUUCCUUUCAAGUAAGAGGGAAAAAAGCAGCAGAUCAAAUCAACACAUGCACAAACACGCACAGAGUCAAGCCCUCCAUUUGCUGUAGAGGACUGUGAGCACAGUUGUCUGGGUGGAGAUAUGUGUCAGUAAGUUAGCUAACAUCAGUUAUUGCAGAAGGAAAAGUCAAGGCAGCACAGACCUUCCCCAAACAUUGAAGACCUCAAUAAACACUGCAGAAUGGACAGAGUAUAUCAGUAAAAUUGGUUACUUGCCUAUAGAUGUCCAUACAUGCGACUAUACAUUGGUUAUUGUGACAGUUACCAAGCAAUUUGUUUCCACAUAUUUGGUUAACAAUGAAUGACAUGCCAGAAAUCCUUUAGUCUAACAGGGAUGAAUCUAACGGACGGAUUACAGUGGGCCGAGUAGGUGAAGGGGGUGGUCUUCGACUGGAGAGAGAGAGAGAAGAAACAGUAAGGACAAACACUGAGCACAAACCUGACACUCUGGCUGUGUUACACGGACAUGCACGGGCUCAUGCACACUACAAUCCUAUCGCCACUGCAGCAAGGCACCCUGAGCAUGCACAGGAGGGAGGCAGGAAAUGGGUUUGCCAUUUCUGCCAUGCUUCACUGUCUCACCCAUCGCUGUGCACAGCCUGGGGAAUGCACACACCAUCACCUCUGGAGCCACGCAAACCGGCAGGGAGGAUCGCUAUCCCCUGCUUGGAGGGUCAGUCCCAGCCUGGACAGUCACAGAGCAGACUCACAGACACACUUCAGAGCAGGCAUCAGGACUGGGGAAACAGCCUGCAGCAACCUCAGGGCUGCUUUGCAGAAGCAGGAAAACCUGCAGCUUCUUGCAUACCUGGGCAAACUGUAGCCCUAUCAACGUGCCUGAAUCUGAGGCACAUUUUGAGGCUUUAUAUCAAUGGCCAGUUUUGAAAAUGCCAGUUGUGGCUAGGCCUGCUGGAUUAAUUAAUUUACCACUAAUGCAUUUUUCUAUCAACUUUGGGAAGUGCUACGGAGUCAACAGAUUUUUUGGGAAGACUUAGAUGCCUUCAUUCCAUUUUCCUGUGUACUGCAUUUUAACUUGGAUUGUGUCAUCCUCUGAUAAGAGACCCCAGAGCAAGAGUUAGCAGCUGUGAGAUCUCCAGGCACAUUGUACUUGCAGUCCAGGCUGGCACUUACCCCUCCCUCCCUCCUUCCAUCCAAGGAUAACAUCCCAACUCUGCUGGAGCUGUAGAUAGAGUCCCUCUGGUAGCUGUGUAAUACUUUACCUUUUGGUGUGCAGUAAGGUUCACCUCAGGGCUGUGUGGAGGUAAUUCCAUCAGCUUAGUUACAGAGAGUAUUUUGUUGGUCAGGCAGGCUCCGUUCCACGUGGGCCUGCCGAGCCAGGCCCAUGCAGAGUCUGAGCUGACAUUGCCUGCACCAGCUCGCACAGUCCUGCCUAAGAGGCUGCUCCCGUAACCAGCUCCAGCACCCUCCAGCAGAGCUCUGCUGCUGCGUUCAUCCCAACCCACGUCUCCCACGGUGUUUUUGCUCCCUUUCUCAAGCAGAAAGUACCACGUACUCUCUCUCUAUUCCUUAAUCCAGCGCAGAUAACCAGGAGAGCUCAUGGCUACACCCAGGCUCUGAGCAAGGUGGGAGCUGAGGUUGGUUCCCAUCAGCUGCAGCAGAGUUCAUCAGUAAUUUGUAAUAAUAAAUUAAUAAUUUACCCCAACAAACUGUGCUGCCCUUCCUAACCCAUCCUCCACCUGUGCAAGUAGGAACAGUUGUGGCUCUGAAGAAGAUUACAGAGGAAAUGUGUCUCAUUCUGCUAAAGCUAAACUGAAGAUGAAAAGAAUGUAACAAUGUGUUAAUCUUCUUUGAACUGGAACAAAAUAUGUGAGACAAAUUUACACUUGACAAAAAAAAAUCUCAUUUGGCUCAAAGUGCAUCUUGUGCGACAAUAUUCUCUUUUGGUGAAGAAACGAGAAUUUUAAUCCCUACCAUGCAACAAAUACAAAAUAUGCCAACUAAAGCAUUCAAAUAAGUCAACAAGCUAAAAAAAAUAGGCAAAAUAUAAUUUCUUCAUGGUGUAUUUUUCUUACAGGAAAAAUGUUACUGUGUUAACUAUUGUUUCUUGUGUUGCUCCAGUGUAGGUCUUCUGGACCCAUUUCCAAAAUUUGUAGUUUCAUAAAGAACCACUUCUAAGGCUCUGCAUUUCUGCUGGGUUGCAUUAAAUUAUUCCUUUGUUGAAAUGCCUCACAUUGCAUUGUUUAGCGCUUACUGAAAACAUUGUAUCAUAUGCAUACAAUUUACAAACAAGGGAAAAUGCAUACAGCUGUCUUCAUAUCAGAUUUAAAAGAUACAAGCCCAAACAUGCAUUUUAAUACCAGGUUAAAUGCAGCCCACUGGAUUCAAAUAAUGCAAUUUAGCCAAAUUGCUAUUUAACACAGCAGGAUCAGAAACUGGAGAGCACAGUGGAAGGAUUUCCUGGAUAAAAUCAGUCAAAGCAAACCUGAACCAAAAUCAGGCCCAAGCCCAGUCUCCUCCUUGAACCAGAGCUGUUACUGCACACUCACAGCUAUUUCGAAUUUCCAUUCCAGCCCAGCGCAGACCUGAACAGCAAAACUCCCCAUCAGCUCCUCCCCACUGCAGAGUACCGAGCAUUCAAGGAGAAGCCGAUGCCCCCAAGGGGACUCUGAGGAGGAGCUGCUGCCGAGCUAGCCCACCCUCCUCUCGCUGUGCCACUGCCCCACAGACAGGUGUGCUCAGGCAGGGCAUGCUCCAGCCGUGCUCUGUCCUGUCUGUGGAUGCUCCCACGUGUGUCUGGGAUGCUCUGACACAAACACCUGCGUGUGUUUUCCUGCACGGGCACGGGCACGGGCACGGGCACGGGCACGGGCACGGGCACGGGCACGGGCACGGGCACGGGCACGGGCACAUCGAUGAGGAACAGGCAGAGCCCUCCUUAGCUCCAGCCCCUCCAGGCUGCUGCCUGCCUCCCGCGCACUUGCAGCUCCCUAACCCUCCGACCGGGGGAGCAGGGCUCGGUGCAGGGCACAGGUGCCUCCAGAGGAGUGGCAGUGUUGGGGACAGGCAGCGCUCAUUUCCCCCAGCCCUGCUGCUGACAGUCUCCCGGGCUAUCUGCACUUCCCUGUGCCCGCAGGGGAGGAAGGGGAGCCGUGCUCCUGAGGCCUGGGCAGAGCACAGGGGGUUCAGCUCGGGGAACAGAGCUCACCUUCCUUGGCCAUUGGCACACAGGAUCAAGGGGCACAAGCUGGAGCGCACGUCCAAGUGAAGGAAAGAACAAGCCCUGAAGUUGCCUGUCCUAGAUUUCCCUGUCAAGGUGACAGGUCAUUCUGUGACCAUCUCUACACUGGGAGUAGCAUUCAGACCUUUUUUCACCCCCAACAGGAAACUCAACCCCAAAACCACGAGGAGAGGCCAAGCCCCGUUUCUCUUGCCUCUCCCUGGCUCCUUUACACCCGGAGUAGUGGCCGAGAGCCCACGGAGCGGUGCAGGAGCCUGGGCCACCUGAGGUAACAAAACCACAACCAAUUCGGAGGCGUGCACAGAGCACAGCCCUGAGGAAGCCGAGCGUGGGUUCAGCACCAUCGCGCCCCGAGCGAAGGCUCCCCACGGGCGCUCCGGCCUCGGAACGCCGGGGAGCGGGCCUGCGGAGCGGCAGGGGGAGCUCCAGCCCGCCCGCGGCCCGGCCCGGGGACAGCGGGGAAAAACAACCUCCCCCGCAGCCGGGCUCCGCGCUAGCUGCCAUCGCAGUGACAGAACAAACCUGGAUGUGAGGCAUAUGGUAAGAGGAUAAACAGUGACUUACUGCAGGCUAUUGCUGAAUAUUGGUUCCAUCAAACACCUCUGACUGCAGGGAACGCACAGCUUUGUUUUGCCACAAGACUUCCCAACAGCGGCGCCUGCCUUCCCGCCCACGCAGCAGUGCACAGUCGGUCAUGCCAGAGGGAGAGAACCAUGCCCCACCAGGAACACCAAACU